UGUAAGUGGCCUUUUAUAAUUGCACUGAAAGCAAAAUGGGGCAUUAAGUGCCCCAGAGGUGCAGUAACGAGGAGCAUCACGGGAAGCGCUGCCGGCCGAGCCAAGGGGCUGCUCGCAGCCUCCCCUCUCACCUCUGCCAGGUAGCUGCUGGUAUAAAAUAGGUCUUUCUCUCCCACCGCUCCCACAGAAAAUUAGUCUCCUGAAGAAGCAAGCGGCCGCUCUGCACUCCUGCCUCAGCCUCAAGAGGUGCGGCUGAAGGCAUUUAUGCUUUGGAAGGAGCGAGGUGUCAGCCCUCCACAGGUGUUUCCUGCAGUGGAGCUGGGCUCAAGGGGCUGUGAUGCCUCAGCCUGGGGCUCUGGUGGCUGCAACGUCGACAGG